UAGAGUAGCCCCUGCUCUUGCUCAGUAAUUAAGGCUGACAAACCUUUUCUGGUUCCUGUGCGGAGAGAUUUUGAUGCCCACGGAGUACUGAAACAUUUUGUAAUUUCUGCUUUUGCUGUGCACAGAGCUAUUUAAUUUUAAGGAAGACCACAGAGAUUUCAGCACAUUGCUGGCUUUUACUCUCCUGGGAGAACUUACACGGAUUUGUUUUCAGCAGUAAACUCUCCCUACUAAAUUCCUGUUGAGGGUGAAAAUGACAACCAGGGGAAAAUCAACAAUAUCCACAAGAACAAUAAAAUUGUCAAAGGAAGGGUUGGAGGUAGUCACUUCUGGAGACAUGCUUUUUCCCUUGGGAUGCAUCUUUAUAUCAGAAUAUCAUGAAUAAAGAGAACCCUUGAGUUUAUUGUGCCCUGAAACGCAUUUUUAAAAGAAGAAUUUUCAAAGCACAGUGUGCCUGACUCAAAGUGUAAGAAAGAGUGCCGAGUUCAAAAUCCCUAAUGAGCAACUCUUUAUUGCAGUCCAGUUUGGGGCAAUGUUUUAGAGUCUGUGGAUAGGGGGUGGCCAGGAAGCUGCCUCACUUUAAGAUUGUUAGACUCUCAAAUUAUGUUACAUUGUUUUUGUUUUCUGGAGUAUGGUAUUAAUAAAAAGAAAGGGCUAUGGUAUGGCACACUACACCAUUAGUUAUUAAAUUCAUGUGCAAUAAUUUAGGGACCAGAGAAAGGUAAUGAACCCACACAUAGUCAUUGAUUUGCAUUUUAAAUGCAAGAGAUGAGAAAUUAGUCAUAUAAGUAGAUAUGUGUGUACUUAUACAUGUAUUUGGUGUGUGUGGUACAUAUUUUACAUGUACAACGUACAUCUCUUGGGAUCCAUUGGAAACUGAUUCCCACAUCCUGCAGAGGCUUCCAUAUAUAGAAUGCUACAGUACUUGUAUGAAUUCUACAUGCAUCUUUCAUGUACUUGAAAUCAUCUCUAUAUUACUUAUGAUAAUGAACGCAAUGUAAAUUCUGUGUAAACAGUUGUCAUGCUGAAUUCUUUAGGGAAUAAUGAUGAAAAUGAAUGUCUAUGUUUAGUAAAGAAGAAAAGCAAGUAUUUUAAGUCUUCUUUGUUGAAUCCACAGAUACAGAACCCAUGGAUAUUAAUAUUUUUAAUAUAUCUAUAUAAAUUUUCUUUAGCCAAUAUCUAAAAAUUGGAAGAAAUCCCUCUCUCAUAUCAACUUAUGAACAGGUUUUAGCCAUCACUGACCUUGAAAGUGAAUUUUUCUACAACUCUGGUCAGGUCUUACAAAAAAAAAAGAUACUAAAUAUCUGUUUUCCAGACCAACUUUUCAAAAAUGUUUCUAUUAACAGCCACCUUCAGGGAGCCUUGAAAGAUGGAGACAAUAGUACCUCCACAUGCAAUAAAGGAGUGCAGCUCAGGACCCAAGGCCUGACAUGUGGAUGCUCUUGCCGCCUGCUGGCUUGGUAAUCCAGGAGUUUUCAUCAUAUCUGUUGCCAGUAUCGCUCUAACUACAGAAGUCCAUUCACUUGUUAACUUAAAAUAAUUAAAACAGAUUUUUUGGUGUAUUUUAAAA